AGCAAAUCCAGCAAAGCAGAUUAAAAAAGAAACCUCCUGAGGUAGCAAGAACACUAUUAGAGCACUGUGUCUGAGAAAUCAAAGACAGAAGAAUGUGUUUCAAAAAAGACCUGUGUCAGUGCUGUUGAUUGGCUAAAAAACUUGAGAGCUAAGAACUGACUUUAGCUAGAAGGAGAAUGCUGGGGAUUCUGACAAGAUGAUUCCUCUGGAGCAAUGGAGAAGACAACCUUAAUUUAGGAGAGUGUUGGGAAAAGUAGUGAAGAAUCUAGAUGUAGAAGCAUUUUGAAGGUUUUACUGCAGGGUAGAGCAAAGAAAUGGGAAAACAUUUUGGAUAUGGGUUCUAAUGCAAGAUAUGAUAGCCUUUAUUUAUGCUGAUGAAAAUUAUCUAAUAUAAAAAUAGCAACUAAAGAUACAAGAAAAGUAGGAUGAUUAUAGAAGUGAAGUUCCAUAAUGAUCUCUAGGGAAUGGGAACCACCAUGAAAGUAGAGGGGUUGGCCUUGCAUAGGAACAGAGGUUCCCAGGAUAAAGGAAGAAUAGGUAGAGUACUUGGGGGUAGAUUUGGUAGCAGGAAGAUGAAAUAAUUCUCUUCUGAUUUCUCAAUCUUGUAUUGAAAUUAGAAGCAAGGUCAUUGGCUGAGAAUAAAAGUAGAAGUAUUGGAAUGUGGAGAAAAAAGGAAAAAGUAUGAGUGUGAAACUGCUAGCUUAGAAAACAGAAGAACAAAUUGACAACAUAAAUGUAGUAGGAUUGCUGAAGGCCCAAGUAAAACCAGUGAAUACAAAUUUUAAGAUGAAACCAAUGAGUGUUUCUCUACUUAAGAAGAUGUCAAUCUGUGUUUUUUCCUUACCCACUUAGCUGUUUACCACAGGCAAAGAGUGCGAG
rnacentral:lncRNA from 1 species